CAAGGGCUCCAGCCAGAGAGUAUCAGGAGAGGAGCAAGGUGCUUGCAUGGUCUCCCUGCAAAGCCCAGUUUCCACCAGGAAAGCAACCAAUAGUCCUUGCAGGGGACUAGUGCCAUCAUAAUUAGCCACUCUGGACUCCUCCAGGCACAGGCCCAGGUGGUACAGGUAAAGGCUGCUACACAGGUGGGCAGGCUUUUGUGGAGGCCUCUUCAGAGUGGAGGGAAACUGCAUUACAGGUAAAGCCCCUUGGACCUUGUGAGAGCCUUUGGAGUUGUUUGAAGCCAGCCAGAUCUCACAAUCCUGGGAGAAGCAUUGCUGCUCUCACGGUGAAGAUAAUGAAAAACUGAGUCUGGACACCAGAAUUUCAUUUUUUCAUGUUCUGCU
rnacentral:lncRNA from 1 species